rnacentral:rRNA from 1 species
AGUGAACGCUGGCGGUAGGCCUAACACAUGCAAGUCGAACGGCAGCACAAGGGAGCUUGCUCCCUGGGUGGCGAGUGGCGGACGGGUGAGGAAUACAUCGGAAUCUACCUUGUCGUGGGGGAUAACCUCGGGAAACCGGGACUAAUACCGCAUACGACCUUCGGUGAAGUAGGGGAUCGCAAGACCUUACGCGAUUGGAU